rnacentral:lncRNA from 1 species
UUUUCAGUGAGUUUUCCAAAACCCAGUAUCUCCAUUUGCCCUGUUGGUGAGGUGACCUGGGGUCAGACUGUUGAAAUCACAUGUUCAGUCUCAACUCAGGUUUUAGGUGGAUCGUUCACUCUGAGUCAAAUUCAGGGUUCAUUCAUGAGGAGCCAAACCUCCACACAAACUCUGCUACCUUCAAUAUUCCUAACGUGGACUUGAUAACGAGGGAUUGUACCAGUGUCAGUAUAAGAAAAGAGGCUCACGUCGUGAAUUUAGCUCCCCAUUAAGUGACUCGGUCAGACUCUCUGUUACUGUGAGACUGCAGACACCCAGCAUCUCCCUGACCUCUCCUAGUGCAGGUCUGGUCUGGGGUCCUGAAGGUCAGAGAUCACCAGGGGUUACAGUUUGUCCUCACCUGCUCCGUUAACUCCAGAUUUUCCAGUGGACGUUUCUUCUCAUCUUCUCUGACUCCAACAUCACAGACAGCAAGCCAGCAGUCAACAACUCAGCCUCCUUUAGUUUCCCUGUAGCUGAGUAUGAACACCAAGGCAACUACAGCUGUGUGUAUGAAGUCACAGUGUCCACACGGACAUUCAAUUCUACUGCAACAGCACCCAUUACUGUCAUCAUUAAAUUUCCUUGGAUGCUGCUGGUCUCGUCUGUAGUUCCUGUGGUCCUGCUGCUCCUGCUGGUCUCGUUGGUGGUGUUACUGGUGCCCAGGAGAAGGAGACAAACACAGCAGGCCCACAUCCACACCACAGUGACUCUAAAAUCCUGCAAUGAAGAAGAUGACAUCAGUGACGAGGAGAGGAUCUAUUUGAAUGUUGAGACACUGAACACCUACAGGAAUUUUACCAAACAACUGGAAGGAGCGGAGAGAGAGGAAACAGAGGAGAAGAGAUAAAAUCCCAUCAAUAGAAGUGAUUUUAGUCUAAAUUGAGCUGUACAUAUAUAGUACGUACAUUUUUUUAAAGUAUAGAGUAAAAGAAUACAUAAAGCAAAGUUGUUUUUAUUGUGAAGCCUGAAAAAGAUUUGUCUUUUAGAUGAUUAGUAAAAUGAUAUAAUGCAAGUAAUUUGCAAUAAAAACAAAAAACAACUUGUUCUUGGAGUAUUUGGAAAUUAAUUACACAAUAUAACUGCUACUAUCUCCAAAACAGUGACCUACAGCACACACCUGUAUUUAUUAUUCAGGCCACUCACCUGUCUGACUGUUACAUACAUACAGUCUUGGUCUUCGACAUCAUCAUGUAGAAUAUAUCUUUAGCCUAAAACAGAUACACACAAGCCUGGAUGCAUUAUGGCACCUUUUAACCAAUAGCUUCCCCUUUCCUGGCGUCAAACCACCUCUUUUCUGUGAACCAUUUCUGAAAAACUCAAAUGA